rnacentral:rRNA from 1 species
CUACGGGCUGCUCCAGGCGAGAAAACUUUGCAAUGUGCGAAAGCACGACAAGGUUAAUCCGAGUGGUUUCUGCUAAAGGAACCUUUUGUCGGUCCUAGAAACACCGAUGAAUAAGGGGUGGGCAAGUUCUGGUGUCAGCCGCCGCGGUAAAACCAGCACCUCAAGUGGUCAGGAUGAUUAUUGGGCCUAAAGCAUCCGUAGCCUGCUUUGUUAGUUUUCGGUUAAAUCUGUACGCUCAACGUACAGGCUGCCGGGAAUACUGCAAAGCUAGGGAGUGGGAGAGGUAGACGGUACUCGGUAGGAAGGGGUAAAAUCCUUUGAUCUAUUGAUGACCACCUGUGGCGAAGGCGGUCUACCAGAACACGUCCGACGGUGAGGGAUGAAAGCUGGGGGAGCAAACCGGAUUAGAUACCCGAGUAGUC